rnacentral:lncRNA from 1 species
CAUUCAAAACCAAUUAAUCCAACCAACUGGUGGUUGAACUAACAAGUUAAAUCUUAUUACCAAGUAAGAAAAAAGAAGUUAAGUAAGAGAAUCAGAUGGAAGAGAAAAGAAAUACUACCUAGAGGAACAUGGUCAACACUACUAGAGUAAUGAACAAAGCUUAUUCAACGCAAAAUGAGUAAGAAAGGAAACAAAGGGUCCAUAAGUUUAACCAUAUUGAGGGUCAGCUUUAUGGCCAACCAUGAUCCCCAAAAUCAUGAUUUAGUUCAUGGUUCUCAUCUCAAUAGAGGAGAAAAUAAGGGAGAGGGAUAUACUAAAAAUUCAGGUUAUUAUGCACCUUUAAAGGGUGAAUCUGACCAUUUGAAAGGUCAGAUUAAUUCCAUGUUGUGAUGCCAUGUGAAGUAAACUUUCGCCCUAGGUUUCACAAAUGUAUACAUAUACUAAUUAGCAAUCCAAGAUGUAAACAUUGCAUAUGAACACAACCUUACAAACGUUUUGGUUUCAACUCAA